rnacentral:tRNA from 1 species
GUGUCCGUAGCUUAAUUGGAUAGAGCAAAGAUCUCCGAAGUCUUUAGGUGUGGGUUCAAUUCCCAUCGGGCGCA